rnacentral:rRNA from 1 species
GACGAACGCUGGCGGCGUGCCUAAUACAUGCAAGUAGGACGCAGUUGCGAACGGGUGAGUAACGCGUAGGUAACUACCUAUUAGAGGGGGAUAACUAUUGGAAACGAUAGCUAAUACCGCAUACUAGUAGAUGGACCUGCGUUGUAUUAGGUAGUAGGUAGGGUAAUGGCCUACCUAGGCAACGAUACAUAGCCGGCUCUGGAGGGUGAUCGGCCACACUGGGACUGAGACAAGGCCCAAGCUCCCACGGGAGGCAGCCAGAGGGAAUCUUCGGCAAUGGGGGGAACCCUGACCGAGCAACGCCGCGGGAGUGAAGAAGGUUUUCGGAGUGUAAAGCUCUGUUGUUAAGGAAGCGGUACUUAACCAGAAAGGGACGGCUAACUACGUGCCAGCAGCCGCGGUAAUUC